rnacentral:misc_RNA from 1 species
UUUUUUUUUUCCGGUAGGUCGCCAGCUGAGGCGGUUUGUAAGUUUUGGGUCGCAGUAUGCUAGAAUUUUGAGGCUCCCUUCUGAUGAAAAUUGAGCUGUCCAUGCAGCCAUGGAACCCGGGUUACAGCAGUGAGGGGGCCACGGCUCAAGGCCGGGCGCAGUGGCUCACACCUGUAAUCCCAGCACUUUGGGAGGCCGAGGCGGGCGGAUCAUGAGAAACUUACACAUGUCCAAAAAUGAUUGAGAUGGAGCAGGCGGAGGCCCAGCUUGCUGAGUUAGACCUGCUAGCCAGUAUGUUCCCUGGUGAGAAUGAGCUCAUAGUGAAUGACCAGCUGGCUGUAGCAGAACUGAAAGAUUGUAUUGAAAAGAAGACAAUGGAGGGGCGAUCUUCAAAAGUCUACUUUACUAUCAAUAUGAACCUGGAUGUAUCUGACGAAAAAAUGGCGAUGUUUUCUCUGGCCUGUAUUCUUCCCUUUAAAUACCCGGCAGUUCUGCCUGAAAUUACUGUCAGAUCAGUAUUAUUGAGUAGAUCCCAGCAGACUCAGCUGAACACAGAUCUGACUGCAUUCCU